CUCCAACAUCACGAAGUCGCUCUCCACCCCAUCGGCUCGACUUAGCAAACAUCAAAGGUGACGGCGCCUGGCGGAGGCAGAGGCAAAGGCGAGGUCACGGGUUCGACGAUGCGUGGGUCUUCUUCUCCUCAGCACACGACGGAGGCGAGAUCUGGCUACACUUUCCUAAUUGCAAAUGCUGCAAGGGUGAGAGCCUUCUUUGGAUGCCCAGUUGAUGAACGCAAGGACUUUCUGCUGCAGAUGAUGUAUA